rnacentral:rRNA from 1 species
AUGGGGAGUUCCAGUCGCCACAGCUCCAUUUCCCUUGCAGUCAUCUUGGUCUUUGCCGUCCUGCUGCUCAACGCUGAUCUAGGGUCGUGCGGCUGCUUCAAGCGCAUCUUCUCCUUCGGCGACUCCAUCACCGACACCGGCAACUUCGCGUACAUCAGCCGCAACAGUCCGCCGGGUCCGCCCUCAGUGCCCCCUUACGGAGAGACCUACUUCCACCGCCCCACGGGCCGUGCCUCCGAUGGGCGUCUCAUCAUCGACUUUUACGCGCAAGCGUUGGGCCUGCCGUUGCUGCCGCCGAGCAUUCCCGAGGAGAAGACGGGGAAGUUCCCGACCGGUGCCAACUUUGCCGUUUUUGGCGCUAUUGCGCUCAACCCCAAGUACUUCAUGUCAAGGUACAACUUCAGUCUGCAGCGCGGGUGCCUCGACGAGCAGCUGGCUUCUUUCAAGAAAGUGCUCGCACGGAUUGCUCCGGGAGAUGCUGCCACCAAGAGUCUCCUGAGCGAAUCCCUGGUCGUCUUUGGCGAGAUCGGUGGCAACGACUACAACUUCUGGUUCUUCGAUCAUACGCACAGCCGGGACACGGCCAAGGAGUACAUACCGGACGUGAUUGCUCGCAUAGGCGCUGGUGUCCAAGAGGUGAUCAACCUCGGUGCCAAGACGGUCCUUGUCCCAGGGAACUUCCCCAUCGGGUGCGUGCCGGUUUACCUGAGUGGUAACAAGAGCUACACGUCCACGGACCACGACCAGUACGGUUGCCUCAAGUGGUUCAACGCGUUCUCCCAGAUGCACAACCAGUUACUGAAACAAGAGAUCACCAAGCUCAAGUCACAGAACCCCGGCGUGAAGAUCAUCUACGGCGACUACUACGGUGCCUUCAUGGAGUUCGUCAAGAAUCCUAGCAGGAAUGGCAUUGACAAGCCUCUGGUGGCGUGUUGUGGUGGCGAUGGCCCCUACGGCACGGGCCAUCUGUGCGACCAGAACGCGAAGGUUUGCCCCGACCCGUCGAGGUUCGCCAACUGGGACCAAAUCCACAUGACAGAGAAGGCAUACAGCGUGAUCGCCAAUGGGGUGGUCAAUGGCCCGUACGCCGACAUCCCGUUGCUCCACGCUUGCUAG